ACCUUUGUGGAUUUGAACAUGAUCUGUGCAGGGUAAUUAAGAAAAGCCAAAGAACCCUUUGUUAAACCAUGUGAACCCAUGAGCACAGCAGAAAGCUUCACAUACGUUUUCCAUGGGUUCACCAUUUGCUUGCUUGUGAAACCUUGAAGGUAAAUCAGAAACAGGUAAACGAAUCCUUGAAUAAAUGUGAAGUACCAACCAUAGCUGAAACAAAGUGUAUAUAUAAAUAUACCUCACAGAUACCAUUAACAAGAUAUCCAAAGAAGAACCCAGAUGAACAAAUGAGGAAUUGUUGCCAUCUGGGUUUAUCAGAGAGUGAAAUUCCAAACAACUUACGACCCUGUUCUUCUUUCUUCGUCACCAUUUGGCUUCUUUUUCUUCAAACUUGACACAAACCCAAAAUUGAAAUCAAUAAAAAGACUAUCUUUUCUAAAACUGCAACUUGAUCAAACCAUGUGAAGCAUUUGGGGCUAAAAUGAUUGCAUGUUGACUUUAGCACCAGCAAUGAAGAAGAAGAAACGAGUU